AAAAAAAAAAAAAGCAAAAAAACCAGGAAAUCCUGGCACAUGUGGCAACAUGGAUUCAGGUGAGGACAUCUUAUAGAAUGAAAGAAGCCAGCCUCAGCACACACUGGUCUACUCUAAGGAACCAGGUACUAAGACAGAACACAGAAUGGGGCUGAAGGGGCUGUAUGGACUAGAUGUUUGAUGAGUACAGUUCUGUAAGAUGAGGCGAUCUGGAGGAAGAUGGUGUGACGGUGGUGUGGCCAUGUGGAUGUGUAUAGGAUCUCUACACUCACACUUAGGGCCGUAAGGGGAGCUGGGUAGAAUGUCUGCCCAGCGUUUGCAAAGCACAGCAAAAAGCAAAACAACUACGAUGACAUCAGUGAAGGGAAUGGGCUACAUUCUUAAAAAUAGCUAAAAGGGCCAGCAGGGUAGCUCAGCAGGUGAUCGGACUAGCCACCAAACCUAACAACCUGAGUUCAAACACCAGGACGCAUGUGGAAAGAGAACCGACUCCCAUGUCUGUCCUCCAACCUCAACAUGUGUACUGUGAGAAACACAUGCACACGUUCACAGAAUAAAUAAAUAAGAUAUGAUAUUUUGUAAAAUGUCUAAAAGAGAGAAUUUUAUGUGCGUUUAUGUGCACAGUAAAGAAGAGGAACAGGGUGUUACUAGGCUGUCUGGCUUUACCCUUCAAAAUUACCCAGAACCUGCCUGCUGUUCAUAGCUACCAGCCUAGCCCAGGCCAUAAUGACUGUCUGUCUCCUCAUUUAUGACAGCGCUCAGCCAUCUGGUCUUCCCAUUCCACCUCUCUACUGUCAACAAGUUGACGGAUUUCUUAGGAAAUGAACUUGGGGCUGUCCCUAUUCCAGAGAAUCCUGCAGAAGUCACCAAUGCCUGCCGCCCUGCUGCCAGUUCUUCUGCAGCCCCAUCUUUCUGCUCCCAGACUGUGUUAGACACUGGAGGGCACAGGCCAUUGCCCCAGCUGUCAACCUUGCCACAGUGGUCCUUCCCUGCCUACUUCAUGUUCCUAGAAGCUUGGGUAGCUCAAUGGAGGCAGAGAUCAUUGUCCUGGUAUGCUUUCCCCAGAACAGUGCUGAAUAUGGAGUGAGUAAGUAAGUGUUCAAACAUAAUUGUUGAAGUAAAGAAUCAUUAUUUAGGAAGCCAACUGCUCCUCAUAAAACCAUGACACCAGCUUAUCAGUGUUUUGAACAAGGCUGCCACCUGGUGGGUACAUUCUACCACAGCAGGAUCUUCCCUGUGGCCAGUUGGUUUGAGGGGCAGCUCUUUGCAUGAGGAAUUUUUAAAUUCCUUACUCUGCAAUCCGCAGAGGAUUUGGAGGAGAAGACACACAUAUAAAGGGACUUCAGGGAGAAGAGGAAGGAGAUCUAGCACACUCAAAUCCAAAACAGAAAGUCCAAAAGUGAGUGCUCAGGGUGGAUAUGUGAUGGUUCAGACCUGAUGAAAUAGCAUAGAGCCCUAGGUCUGUCUGAGGAAGAAGUAUCAACAGGCCUGAGGGGCCAGUGGGAGGGGAGGCAGGCAGGGCAGCAGGUGGCGGGGUAGUAACUGGCAGGGGAGCAGGUGGCAGGAGAACAGGUGGCAGGGCAGCAGGUGGCAGGGCUGCAGGUGGUGGGCCAGACCUACUAGGUGCUCCAUUGAUUGUUCUUGUAGAAGCAAACUCUGGCAGCACUGUAGGAUACAGGAGAAAGUGGACCCAGUCUUUGAAAAAAAAUGAAAAAAAAUAUGAACCUUCCAGUCUAUGCUUAUGGAAACAACUCCCAUCCUGCUUGCCAUGUGCCAAUCACUGAGUUGGUGUUAAAUAUGAGUCUGAGGUUCAGACUCAGCAUGCAGAGGGUCUUGAGAUGUGAUACUGGUUAAUUGUAGGUUUAGAAUCACAGCACAGGGCAAACCUAAACAAAGAAAUGGUGGGCAGGGCAGGUAAUAGGCCAAUGGCCAGAUCUGCUCACAUGGCAUACAUAUAAACUGUCUUUGCAUCUGUACUAGGGGCUUUCCUUGUCCCUGUGACAAGAGGCCCGGCAAGGAGCAACUUAAGGAAGAUUUAAUUCUGCUCGUGGCUUGAGGAUACUCCCUCAAGGCACGAAGGUACACUCACGGAAGUGUGGGUAGGAAUGUUGCAUUCAAGAAGCAGAGGAUCAAUGCUGGAGUUCAGCUCACUGUCUCCUUUGCCUUUUUCAUUCAGCCCAAGACCCCACUUCAUCUAGGUGUCUCUUAGAUUAUUCGAAUCUAGUCACGUUUGACCAUGAAUAUUAACCAUUAUAAUAUCCCAUAAAUAUAUAAAAAAUUUCAGGAGAAAAACUAAUAUACUUGAAAGAAAAGAAACAAUACUACCUUUUAUGCAUCAGAGCAAACAAAUCAAAAGUCUGUACCCUAAGAGUGAAUGGCAUUAAGACUCCUUCCCCUGAGCCUCUAUGUAAUUUAUAAUCUAACUUUUACAGGCUAUCUACAUGCUGGCAGCAUUUCCUUAAUUUCCUAGAAUUCCAUGCUUUCCUUCACAGAUAACUUUUCAGAGAAUUACAUUAAGUCUUGCCAGCAUGUAAGACGAUGGCCCCACCAACACCCCACUCAUGUUGAAUGUAGACGGUUGGGGUGUAGGUCAGUCCUAGAGCAAACACAGCACCUGAAGAGCGCUGGGGUCCAGUCAGCACCAGUCAUAGUAAUGCGCUGAGUCAAAUAUGUACCAAAACAAAUGUAAAACACUAAGGGUUAGGAGGAUAGAGAGAGGGCCAGCCCUGUAAAGGGCUCACCACAUAAACAUGAAGACCUGUUUCAGACCUCGGAAUGCAUAUAAGAAAGGCAGGUGUGGUUGUGCGAGUCUGUGAUGAAUGUAAAUAGUGCAGUGUUAGGCACAGAGACAGGAGGCUCACCGAGCUCAGUGGUCAGUCAGACAACCAACGAGCUUCGGGUGUUACCAAGUUGUCCAAACUGUUUAUAAGCAGUUACCUGCUCUUUGUAACGAUAGGAAGAAUUACCUGUUUUAGCUUUUCUAAUUGGGGUGUGCCAUAUAUAAGAUUAUUGUUCUUACUAACAGCUCCUCAACUCCAAGUGAAGUUUACUAUUUUUCUGUGGGAUAUCCACUUCUAUUUAUGUGAGCUACACAUGGUUCUGCAGUUUCCUUUAUGGGUCUGAAUAGUCUUUGCAAACUUGCAUAUAUUGUAAAAAAAAAUCUAUAAAAAGUAUUUCUUUUUAUUUUAUGUGGAUGAGCGUUCACUUCAUAUAUAUGAGUGCCUGGUGCCUGUGGAGGAGAGGAGAAUUUGUCAAAUCCUUUGGGCCCGGAGUUACAGAUGGCUGGGAGCUGAGCCCAGAUCCUCUGAGACAGCAAGUGUUCUUAACUGCUGAGCCAUCUCUCUAGCGCUCUGCAGCUUUUUAGUGAUGGAAGCCACUCUUUAUCUCCUUUAUUCCUGCCGCAGGUUAACUCUCUGAUGUCUUCUUUAUGUUCAGAACUUGCUUUGUAUCUAUGUAUGUACAAAUGUGAAUGUGCUUAUAAUAGCCGCGUGCGUGUGUGAUUGCGCAUGCGUGCAAGUGUGAUCUUGUGUGCGUGCGUGCGUGAGAGAGCACGCAUGUGCGUGUGUGAUUGCGCAUGCGUGCGUGCGAUUGCCCAUGUGAUCUCGCAUGCGUGUAUGUAUGAUCGCGCAUGCGCGCGAGUGUGAUCGCGCAUGCGUGCAUAUGCAGAUGAGUAUACAGUGAGGCAUGUUGAUAUGGAGGCCACAGGUCAACGCUGAAUGUCCUCUGAUCGCUCUCCAUCUUUUUUUGGCUUCUUUUUGUUUUUUUGACUCAGGUCUUGCAUUGAUCCCAGGACUCACCACUUGCCAGGCAGUCUGGUCAGCAGGCUCUGGGGAACCACCUGUCUCCACUUCCCCAGGGCUGAGGCAACAGGUAAGCACUGCCUCAUUUGGCUUCUUCGCACAUGGGCACUAGGGACGGAACUCAGGUCUUCGUGCUUGCACAGUAAGCAUCAUACCCUCCCACAUCCCUGUGAUUUAUUUUUGUAGGAGGAAUGAGAUGAGAUCUGAUCUCACUUUUCAGAGUUAUCCAGUUUUAACUUCCUUUAUUUAGCCUUUCUCCAAUGCUGGGGAUUGAACUCAGGGCCUCUUACCUGCUGAACUAAAGCUUGACCCUGAGCCACACCCACAGGCUCCAACUUGACAUAAACCACCUUUACCCUAUACCAGACGCGCUUGCGGAUCCUGGCCAUCCACGGAGGCUCCACGGCCCCACAGUGCUGCGUCUGUUUGCUGCAGUCAGUCCUUGAAUUGCUCUUCUUCAGAAUUCCCCGGGGGAUGUUUUUAGAUCAGGACUUCCCAGCAGAGGCCUACCCAGUCAGUCAGGACACUCUGGCUGCCCUGGACGCUCUAUGGUUAGCAGUGUCGCUGCCCUCUAUCCACUAGGUGGAAGUGUAACCUAGUCAGGAAGACCCAGAUACCUCAGUCAGGCCUAGUGCUCAUUGGCUGCUCCCAGUUCCACAUUGAUAUGUUAGUUAGGAUGCAAAUGGAUGGAUGGAAUAAUGUAGGCACCCUUAUUGCAUUUAAUAUGUGGCACUACUGAAUUCAGUCUUUACUAUAUUUAACUUCCCAUCUCAAACCCACACACGUCCUCCCAUUUAUUCACAAGGACAUAGAUGUGUUCUUCAGAGGGGCGUGAGGCUUCUCUUAAUGUACAGACUCUUACAUAACUAAGCAUUCCACCUUCCCUUCUUUCUCCCAGGAGAUCAUUUCUUCCAAUAUUAUAUUUUCUAACUAGUCACUGAUCAAAGAACUAUAAUUUUUUUUUUCUUUCAGACAAGGCACCAUGUGGCCUUAAUCUCCUGAGCUCCUGAUCCUCCUGCCCCACUUCCUGGGUGCUGUUUGUUUAUUUUCGGUGUGAAGUCUCUGUCUUGCCUAACGCCUUGAACUUGUGGAUUCAGGAGACACUCCAGUGUGAGCAUCUGGGACCACAGGUCUGUGUCGCCACAUGCAGCAAGAUACAUAUGUCUUUGCUAGAAGUGUCCCCCACCCCCACCCAGUCCAGCCCCCAACCCUUCCGAAUAGUCUAUCAGUGUGUUACUAAACCAGAAUGGUGGCUAAUUCUGACAUCUCCCAUCUCUGUCGAGAUGACUACGUGGCUUUCCUUUGGCCUGUGAAUGCCUGGCAGAUUAUAUAAGGAUAGCAAUCGCUCAUUGGCUCAUUUUUAAUAAAGAUUUAAGCUGUUCUAUGUAA
rnacentral:sRNA from 1 species